rnacentral:rRNA from 1 species
ACUGCCGGUGACAAACCGGAGGAAGGUGGGGAUGACGUCAAGUCAUCAUGGCCCUUACGGCCUGGGCUACACACGUGCUACAAUGGUCGGUACAAAGGGUUGCCAAGCCGCGAGGUGGAGCUAAUCCCAUAAAACCGAUCGUAGUACCGGAUCCGCAGUCUGCAACUCGACUGCGUGAAGUCGGAAUCGCUAGUAAUCGUGAAUCAGAAUGUCACGGUGAAUACGUUCCCGGGCCUU